GCUAUGAAUACAUUCGACACGUUUGCUUCCAUCAAUCGCGGCCAACAACAUCCGUUUUCCUGCAGCAGUAACCUCUAACCCCUGUUGACAAUGCCGGGGGACAGCAUUAACAGCAGCAGCAGCAGAAUUUGACCAUGGUAUGGUAUUGCGAAGAACUUUCCCCAUUAGAGGUUCCGUGCUUCGCGCACAUUCAGACACGAAAACUCAACGACAAGGAGGUAUUUAUCAACUUGCUCAGCUGAAUUACCACCCGGAGGAACCCGAAUGCACUGAUUCCGUUGUAUAGUAGAAUGAAAAUAGGCGAGGUAAGCGAACGUAAUCGCAUGAUAUUUUAAUGUUCGCAUUUUUAUCCGGAUCAUACAACUGCUAUAAAUACAUCCGACUCAAUCAAUCGGCGAAUGAGAAAGAUGAUUUCCCUCAUCACCACAUUGCUUAUUUCCACUUCUGUCACACCAGCCAACAGCAUCAGCUUUCCCGCAGCAGUAUCCUUUAAGUCCAGGGUGCUAUUCCGGGGAACAGCAUCAACAGCAACAGUAUCAGGACCUGGCCAUCGAUAGUAUUUCGAGCAAUUUUCCCCAUCGGAGAUCCCGUGCUUCACGCACAUUGCAGAAUCCUCCUCAGCCACAUAUCUGUGUCAUCAAGGGCAAGGAGGUACUCAUCAAUGUACUCAGUCGGAUUUGAAUCGUCAAUCCAGACAACCCGGAUGCACCGAUUCCAUUAUAUACCUUAUUUUUAUUAUACA